UUUUCUGUUUAAAAUAAUGUUGAAGCUUCUUGCUACAGGUUCUCAUGAAUCUAGGACCAAAUGCUCUGAGAGAAACAAUCUACAGCAUGCAAUUGCAUCACAUGUACCUUUUCAAUGAAACCAUCCAAGGUGUAUAGAAGAAUGCUUAUGUUGCAGAUGGUAAUCAAUGAUGGAUGUUAGUAGUAUUCUAGAAAAUUUACACUGCAUCAUCAUUUUCAAAGAUGCAGGAUGUAGACAAUUUCUCCUGCACCAGGUUUCAUCUUCCAGAUGCAAGAACUUCCAUUACAGGGUUGAACUCCAAUUGUUUAAGAAAUAUAUAGAAUGGCUCUAACAAAAACAGAUGGGGAUAAAAUGUUGCAUGUGAAGAGUGUUUUCAUGGGUGUGCAUCGGUUUGCAUGUACCCAUUCUGUUGUUCAUCCAUAUUGCAAAUGCAGAGUAAAUUUAGUGCUCUUUAACAUCUUGCUGGGCUACAAUUACUUUGUGUUCAA
rnacentral:lncRNA from 1 species